UGGGGAAUUUUGGACAAUGGGCGAAAGCCUGAUCCAGCAAUGCCGCGUGUGUGAAGAAGGCCUUCGGGUUGUAAAGCACUUUUGUCCGGAAAGAAAUCCUUGGCUCUAAUACAGUCGGGGGAUGACGGUACCGGAAGAAUAAGCACCGGCUAACUACGUGCCAGCAGCCGCGGUAAUACGUAGGGUGCAAGCGUUAAUCGGAAUUACUGGGCGUAAAGCGUGCGCAGGCGGUUUGCUAAGACCGAUGUGAAAUCCCCGGGCUCAACCUGGGAACUGCAUUGGUGACUGGCAGGCUAGAGUAUGGCAGAGGGGGGUAGAAUUCCACGUGUAGCAGUGAAAUGCGUAGAGAUGCGGAGGAAUACCGAUGGCGAAGGCAGCCCCCUGGGCCAAUACUGACGCUCAUGCACGAAAGCGUGGGGAGCAAACAGGAUUAGAUACCCUGGUAGUCCACGCCCUAAACGAUGUCAACUAGUUGUUGGGGAUUCAUUUCCUUAGUAACGUAGCUAACGCGUGAAGUUGACCGCCUGGGGAGUACGGUCGCAAGAUUAAAACUUAAUGAAUUGACGGGGUCAUAGCUG
rnacentral:rRNA from 1 species